UUCACAUUAUAUCUUACCACCUUCUUCCUUGCGCCACCAAUCCACCACCACAAGCGACUUUAAUUGUUCCAUCCACCACCAGAAACUCUCAAAUCUGUAGAAAUGACAGCUUUUGGCGGUGUUCUUUCUCUUCGGAAUACAAUUGACAAUAUUCUCUCUUGUUCUCGUUUUAGCCUUGUUGGUGGCUCUCAACAAAUCAUAGAUGUCGUGCACAACGAGUUGGAUCCACUGCAACAAAUUCUGGAAAAAUUGGACGGCACAAGUCCAAGCAGGAGCAGGAAGAAGGUGAAUGCUUUGGAUGGAAGAAUCAAAGACGCAAUUUGGAGAUUUGAAGACUCAUUGGAAUCUCUCCUCAUUCAACACAUUCCUUCUCAAUCUGAAAUUCUUCCAGAGAUAGUCUCCAUUGAUCUGCAGAGUCUGGAAAGUGAUGCAAAUUCCUUGAUCCAUACGCUCAAGGAUAUGAAGGAGGAGUACCUUUAUGAAGUAGAAAAUAUGCCUCUAGACCAACCUAUUUCCUCAAUAAUUGGUUUCCAUAGAAGCAACUCGAAGAUGAUUGGAUUAUCAGAUCAAUUCCAACAAGUCAAAGCCAAUCUUUUGCGAGGAGAUCUCCCCUGGAGGCUCGAGCACGCUAUUUAUGGCACGGCAGGCAUCGGUAAGACCGCUCUUGCAAUCCAAAUUUAUGAAGAUGCAGAAAUUCAGAGCAAAUAUGAGUGUCGCGCGUGGGUUACAGUAGGCAGAGUACCUCAACCGAUGAGCCAAAUUGCACGAGGCAUUCUAGCUCAACUGUGUGGAAUUACACAAGGAGGUGAAGAAAUUAGUGAUCACAGCUUGGAAGAAAGAUUGUAUGGCAAGAAAUGCCUAAUUGUGUUGGAUGAUGUGUGGCAGACAUCGAAUUUAUGGAAGGAUUCCUUUCUGAACAUAAAAAAUGGAUAUGUUCAUAUCUUGCUUACUGGUCGACAUCGAAAACUGCUGAAUGGUUUCCUUUAUAGAAGUUGGCACGAGGUGCGGUUUUUGAAUGAAGAAGAAAGUAUGGAUCUAUUAUGUGAGAAGGUGUUUGGCGAUGAGAUUUGCCCUCCUCAACUUCACAAAGCUGCCACCAAAAUUGCCAAGCUUUGUGAAGGUCUCCCUCUCUUGAUACUUACCGUAGCUGACAUCCUGUCAAAAUCCGAGCAGAAUAGAAACCCGGUCUACUGGAAUGAAGUAGCAGAAAUGAGAAAUUCAGUCUUCACGGAUGCAUAUAAUCGAAUAUCAAAGGUACUUUCCCCAAGUUACAAUUACUUACCUCAACAUCUGAAAAUGCCUUUUAUGUUUAUGGGAGUUUUCCCUCAAGAUUAUCACACACCCCCUUCCAAGAUCAUUGAUAUGUUGACUGCUGAGGGGUUGUGGUAUGAUCGGGAAUGUUUGAGAGAGCUAGCUUUCUACUACAGUCUUGUUUUACGCAGCUUGAAGAGUGUGUUUAGAUCUUCACAUGAGGUUUCUGUUAGUGAUUUUAAAACUUGUUGGCUUCACUCUUCAUGGCGGCAUGUGUGUAGAGGAGAAGCUAGUAAGAACAAGUUUUAUCUUCUCUUAAAUAAGUUAAUUGAUGCAGAGGAAAAAGGUCUAAAAGGCCAGCGCAGCUUGUGUCUCGAAAAUAACAUUUUAUUUGGCAUCAAAGAGUUUCGAGACUCAGUGAGAUUGAACUGUGCUUCCUCUGCACGUUCUCUCCUUUUCUAUGGUCCUUACCACCAAUAUCCAAUCCCUAUAGAUGUUGGUUUCAUGUUGCUAAGGGAAAUAGAUGCUCUUACACAACGUUUCUAUACAUUUCCAAUAGAAAUUUUGUCGCUAGUCCAACUUAAGUACCUUGCUUUAACUUGCAACGGUGAUCUCCCUGCAACUAUAUCCAAACUUUUCAAUCUUCGAGUCUUGAUUAUCCAUCCACAUCAGAAAAUUAGAUAUUGUAGAGCUCCAUCAUAUGUACCGAUACAAAUAUGGGACAUGCAAGAGUUGGAGCACAUUGAGAUAUUGGGAAAGAGCCUUGUAGCUCCAUCUCAUGUUGCUUCUUUGAAAAAUCUCUCAACACUUGUAGGUGUGAAUGCUAGCGUUUGUACUCUCUUGGAACUCUCGAGAAGAAUUCCUAGCAUAAAGAAAUUAGGAAUACACAUUGAACUUACACCUUAUGAUGAUCAUAAUGACCUCUUGAGUUGCUUUGGUUGCAUUUCAACGCUUGGCAGUUUGGAGACACUCAAAUUCAGUAUCACAAAUCCUGUGAUCAAGCAUAGUCAGGUGUUCUCGGUGACUCCCGAGAAAUUGAGGUUUCCACGUAAUUUGAAAAAGUUGCAUUUGAGAGGCAUGGGUUUACCCUGGGAAUACAUGGAUGUCAUUGGCUCUUUGCCAAGUCUUAAAGUGCUCAAAUUGCGAUCUUACGCCUUUCGUGGUUCACAUUGGAAAGCGAAAAGGCAUAGCUUUUCGAGUCUUGAGUUUCUUCUAAUUGAAGAAAGUGAUUUGGUUCAAUGGAAACCAGCAUACCUAAGCUUCCUUAGGCUUAAAUACUUGAGCCUAAAACAUUGCUACAAACUAAAGGAGAUUCACAGGCCUGCUUCUGUGUAUGCAGAAUUUGGAAGAAUGAUCAUAGAGAUUGAAUUGGAGGACUGCAAUCCUUUAGCUUUGACGUGUGCCAGCCAAUUGCAACCAACUAAUGAUGUUAGGCUUCGUGUUACUGCCUCUUCUUCUUUUUACGAAAAACCGAUAACUUUCAAUUAUGAAAGGGAUGGAGCCGACUAUAUAUAUGAGCUGGAAAGAUCUAUUUUGGAAACUGAGGACGAGAAUGAUGAUGAAGAUAAUAUGACUGAUAGUGAAGAUACAGACAAAGAAAAUGAUUUUGAAAUUAUGCCAACUGGGGAGAGGAUGGCGAAGUUCCAACACUGACGACGACGAGGAAGAGGAUGGUGAAGGCUUGUUGGUGGCUCUCUACAAGGCGUGUACAAGGAGUUGCUUCCAUUGGAAAUAAUUGUAGAAAGAUUGGACUGCACAAGUCCAAGCAGGAGCAGGAAGAAGGUGAAUGCUUUGGAUGGAAUAAUCAAAGUUGCUAUUUGGAGAUUUGAAGACUCUUUGGAAUCUCUUCUCAUUCAGCACAUCCCUUCACAAUCUCAAACUCUUCCUGAGAUUGUCUCCAUUGAUCUCCAGAAGCUUAAGGAUAUGAAAAAGGAGUACAUUUGUGAAGUAGAGAAAAUGGCUGAAGACGAACCUGUUUCCUCAAUAAUUGGCUUUCAUGGAACCAACUCGAAGAUGACUGGAUUAUCAGACCAACUCAAAAUCCAACUUAUGAGCCGUGUGUACAUGCUUUAUGGAAUGGCAGGCGUUGGAAAGACCGCUCUUGCAAUCCAAAUUUAUGAAGAUGCAGAAAUUCAGAGCAAAUAUGAGUGUCGCGCAUGGGUUACUGUAGACAGAGUACCUCAACCGACCAGUCAAAUUAAACGAGGCGUUCUAGCUCAACUGUGUGGAAUAACUCCUACUGAAGGAAAUGAAAAAAUAAGUGAUCACUACUUGAAAGAAAAUCUCAAAGGCCAAAAAUGUCUCAUUGUACACUACCUAUAAAUUCCCAAUGGCAUUAUCCAUGACCAUGACCACCUCCUUCUUUGGUGAGGGCCUUGAUGGACUUGGAGAAGGAGGUGGCGGUGGCGGCAGAGAACAUCAACACGAGGCGGGGCCUCGUGUUGGCAGGGAUAGCCGCAGUAGCAGCAUCAUCUGUCGCAAAAGCCGCAACCACUGACACUAGGAAAGGAGGCGGGUAGACGCCGGUGAAGGAUCCAAGUGCACGGGAGUAUUUUCAAGUGGCGACAUUCGCGGUCGGGAGUAGUUUUCUCAUUCACGGUUCUUCUUCCAAACCCUAGCACCUCAACUAAGGUUUUUGUUUCUUCUCUUCCAUAAUUUUCGAAUUCAGUCUAUAUUGCAAGUUAGGAAUAGUUGAAUCAUAAGAGAACGUAAGCCCUACAACGUUAGGCAAUAUUCAUUGCAUUUAAUUUCGUUUACUAUAUUCCUUCUCUUAUUCCUUCACUUUAUUAUCUAAUAUUCAUUCUUCUCAUUUAAAAUGACUUAUUUUCCUUUUUAGUUUGUGUCAUU